CCGGUCCCAGAUAAAGCGGAAGAUGACGAGUACGAGUACAAACAUUAGCUUGAUUAACAUAGGAGAGGUGGUUUCCAGCAGGACCAAAGUGCAAACAGGAGAGUGGGAACCACAUGGACCAAAGAACUGCUCAGGAAGGUGACGGAUGGGAAAGACUCCAACCCUUCUGCGACCAUGAAGACGUUGAAGCGAGGUCAGGAAAGGAGUGGGCCAACAGGACUCUCUCAUGAUGUGGGAUAACAGUGCAACAAGUCUAUAGUCAUUCGGGACUGAUGGGUGAGUUUUCUUUGGUACCGAAACAAGACAGGGGGCCUUCCACAAGACUGCAACCUUUUUCCAGGUCAGGUGAAGGUUGAAAAGGUGGUGCAGAAUCCCAAAGAGCUGUUCUGCAGAGGCCUACAGGACUCUAGGGCUGAAACAAUCUGGACCUGCAGCGUUGUUCUGGUUCAGUCUCUCCAGUUGCCUCUUCACCUGACUUCUUGAGACACACAGAGGUUUACAUACAUUUCCUUAGCACCUAGUCCUAGCUUCCAAGCUGAUACCUGCAGAUGUUGCUUUAAUAUGUCCACAUAAGUGUUUUUCCUCUUUAUGUCAUCUAUCUUGUAAAGCACACCACUUUGUUUUGCAACAAACAACCCAUAUGUUAUGAUGCUGAUUCCCCCAUACCUCACAGAUGUUACAGAUCUUGUUCUCAGGCUUGCAUGAGGACAAGAUACACCCAUCCCCCUUUUCCUUCAAUUGUCCCAGUCAAAAUUUUAAAAUGUAUUUUGUAAUGGCUUCUUCCUCUAGUGUGUGUCCAUUCAGCUCAUGUUGGUACCUGUAUGACCCCCUCUCUUUUCCAAUGGUUAUGGUCAAUCUGACAAAGAGAGGUAUCCCAAUCGUUGUGGUUUUUAGUAUAACAAUGGUCAUCAGUGGGCUCUAGAUGGACAAACUGUCUACUUUUAAGGCUAGGCUUAUAACUUUCCCUUUUGAUAAAGCUCAUAGUUAGAGUGGCUUAGGUUAUCCUGAGCUAUCUCUGUAGUUAUGCUGCUAUAGGCUUAGGCUGCUGGAGGACAUAAUGACCACUUUCACUCUCUUCGCUA